rnacentral:lncRNA from 13 species
UAGUAACCUGUCAUUGACAGUAUAAACUUACCUUUAUCCAAAAAUGAAACAACGAUAACAUUCUUAAAACAGAAAUCACUUUGGAAAAAUAAUUGACUAGAAUGCCAACUGCAAGUGACUUUUGAAAUAAAGUUUGUUCCAACUGGAGAAAAUUGAAGGCUUCCUAUACAUGUGAACAACCCUUCUCAGCUAACUGAGUAAAAUAUUUGGAUCCAGGAAAUGGCUUGAUUUGAGACGUUCUAAGUUUGGGAGUUUUGUAACGUCAUUAGAUUGGCAUAAACAUAAAUGAUGACAGAAGAAAAUUCAGCACUUCAAUAUGCGAGCGAGUGGAGUUAGCAAAGGAGACAGAAAAAGUAAACAUGGAUGUGAAAUGAAACCUAGUAAAGUAUGAAAUCACAAAAUUCAGUGGAAGAAAAUAAUGCAAAAAAGAAGGAAGUGAUAACUGUAUGAAAUGGUGGCAGUGGAUUGCACAAGAAGAGAACUGAGAACUGACAAUAGGUCCAAGAUUUGAAAACGACUUUGGAGCUCUCUCAAGAAAUCCCUUAUCCAAGAAAUACAGGAUAAAUAGCCAUGUGGAGAUUAUCAACAUCAGGAGUAUAACUGUACAACCAGAGCUGAUGAAUAAAUGUUUAGGUAUUCCUAGUUUUCUUUUUCAAUAAUAUAAAUACAUUUUUAAUAA